CUAUAUUUAUUGUACUCUAUCUGCCGAGUGUCCUGGUGCUUCUCAUGAAUAACAAAAUGGCAAGCAUUCGUAUUCUUGUGCUAGUUUUCGCUGUUCAAGUGUUGUUUUUCAAGGAAAUUCGCUGCUCGCCAGUAAAUACGAAGGAAUCAAGAGAUGAAGUUAUAAGAGCAGAUAAAAUGGAUGAUAUUAUGAACGACUCACUCGACUUUCAAGAUGAAAGUGAAUUACAAAGGGCAACGAUAAGAAAAACUAAAUUGAAAUUAGGAAACAAAAGAUCUCCUCAAUGGCCUUUUCCACCUGACCCUUGGGGUCCCCCCUACCCUGGAGAUGAUAAUAAGAAAAACAGCAAGUCUAGUAAAACAAGUGAGCAUUGAGCUUGUCGAGGAUGAUACUUCACGCGGUCUCCAGUAAAUUAUAAUGGACUGUUCUUAGUGGAAACACUACCAUCAAUACCAUAUGAAGUUCCUCACUGUAUUACGGCGAUCAAAGACUUACGAUUACGUCAUUUUACUACCAAUACCACAAUGCUUUGCAAUAUGCUCUCUCUUUGGCUCAGGUCGACAAACGUUGUAUUCGGCUUUUCUUCUUCAAAUCAAUAAUGCAAUUAAGACAGUUGGUGUUAAACAAAACGAAACAAAACAACGCAAAGGAUUUUAUAUGCAUAGAUAGUUUUCAAAUAAUCAUUACGCUAUACCAGGAGUCCUUGUCACUACGAGAACCCCAGUCACUACGAGUCUUUCCAUCUUUAUACGCUGCCCAAUAAAAAUGACGGGCAAUGACAGCGGAUGUAACACAAAUCCAUUAUGUCAUAUCCGGUUCAUUAACAUAUGCUACACUGUAUUCCAUUACGUCAUAUUUGUUUCAAGAUCCAAGCGUCAUAUCCGGUUCCUCAGUUUCGUGUUGACGCUUAUUCUGGGGUGACAUAUCCAUCCAAGGUGGCCACCAGGGCAUUUGAAUCAUUGGUCCAC